CUUUGUUUAUUUUGAAUCCCACUGGCUUCACAGGAAGACAUUUGUCCUUGCACCAGAAGAAACUACUCAUGAAUAUGCCAUCAAUUAUAUGCCACUCAGACUUUCUCUUCAAUGCCAAGGAUUUUCAGCCCAUCUGAACAUUACCCAUGAGGAAGCCUUUUGCCUUUUCUCAGCCCUAUCUGCAUCUUUGUGGUUGUAGUCUUUCUGAGAUGCCUGGUGUGGAAUUGUACGUGUUUUUCAGGAUGUGGGUGUCCCCAGAUUGACACAAUUGCAUGAGGAUACACUUUGUUUUGAUUUUUAUCCCUUUCUGAACAAUUAAUAUCAAGUGAGAGACUUCUUUCCCCACUGCUAGUGAACACAAAGCUGCUGUGAAAUAUCAGGUGGAGAAAGCCUUCCUGAACAGCCUGGCAAAAGAGCAAGGGCAGCUAUGAGAACAAGUUUUGGUGCUAUUUCAAGCUCCAUUCCAUGCCAAAUCCUAAAAGUGCAAGGACCGAGCUUGAAGAGCAGAGUUUGUGAGAACUUCACCCCAGGAUCCUUGGCUCUGAAAACACUUCAUCAGGGACUCCCCCAGAUGACGUCUUGUCAGCCGCAGAUGAAGGACCAACUUAAAUGGUGUGAAAACGUGUCUGAAUUAAACUCUGACCUCCAGCCUGCCUUUCCAAAGCUGGUCUUAACUCUUCACAGAGGGCCUAAUUUCUGGAAACACUGGAGUUUUCACACAGGUAACACUGUUAGAAGACAAAGUAUCACAAGGUCAGGACACCCUGAAAAUCAACUCAUCUAUCACUCUUCCUCACUGGAUCCAAGUUCUUCAGGCUGUUCUUAAACACCUCUGGUUAUAGCAAUAACAUUUUCCUCAGAUUAUAUGCUCCAGCAUUUAUUUCCCUUGGUGGUAGAAAUUCUAACCUGAGUCUCUGUUGCUUCAUUUUAAGCCUUGGACCUCCACCACCACUGAUGUGAGAACAGAAAUUUCCCUUCCUACUUUGGACAACCUUCUGUGGUAUGGAAGGCUUAGAUCACCUCUCCCCUCUGCAGUUUGUUCAGCCCUUUCUCCCAUGCCAGCUUCCUGCCAGUUCACUUUUCCACCUGCUCUCCCCCCGCCAACUUUUUGCUGGUUGCUCCACGUUUUUUGAAGUGUGAUUUGCAGAACUCCAGCUGGGUGUGAGACCUUCCUAGUGGACAGGUGGCCUUGAGCAAAGAAGAUGCGUGUAGCUUUUUUUAAGCUGUGUUCUCACUUAUCAUGGUAUCACUGUUUUACCUUCAGGUUAUGAUCCAUUCUAACUUCUGUGUACUUCACUCCAUUAUUCCUGUUGACAAUAACACUAAAUAAAGGGAGGUCCCAAGCAGACUCCAGUACAUUCUUAUUAGAGACAUGCAUUUGUUUUGACAGCGUGCCACCCAUCAUUGCUCUUUGAGUCCCCACUUUUUCACAUUCAUUCACACCAUACUUCCUUGUCUUAGCAAAAUGUCAUGUGAAACACUGUCCAGAACCUUUCUAAUGCCAAGAUACAACCUCUGCUACUUCUCUCUUGCCCACAAAACCCAUUAACGUGUCUUGGGAUAAUGAGUAUAAUUGCCUGACAUAACUGAUUCUGUUAAAGAAGAUCUGGAGAUAGUACAGGAACUAAGAUAAUAACACAAGUCUGGGACCUAAGCAGAGGAAACUGCUAGGAAGUUCAAGUAACAAGUACAAGUUGAAAUGGUGGAAACUCUUGGCCAGAAACCACAAAUAGAUUUAUGUUCUGAUCACACAGGCUGAUCCUGUGUGGAGCCAGGAGUUGGACUCCAUGAUCCUUAUGGGUCCCUUCCAAGUUGGGAUAUUCAUAGAAUUGUGAAUCAUUAAAAUUGGAAAAGGCCUCCAAGAUCCAUCUCAUCCAACCGUCCACCUAACACCAAUGUAGUCCACUAAACCAUGUUCCUCAGUACCAUAUUUACACAUUUCAUGAGCAUUUCUAGGGAUGGUGACUCAACUACCUCCCUGGGCACUCCUUUCCAACACCUCACCACUCUUUCACAGAAGUUUUUCUGUGAUUGUAUGGUCUAGCUGGCAUGACUUGCUUUUCUUGUGCAUGUUAAAAAGGUUCAGUUUGGGAAAGCCUGAAAACAACUUUAGAUAAAACAGAAUGGUUGCCUGUUGAAAUGAGACCCCAAAAUGAUUUUUCUGACCUAUCAACCUUAUCAAUUCUUCCUCACUCCUCAGCUAUUGCUGGGGUCAACAGGAAUCUUGCCAUGAGAUUAUAAUUUCAUAUGAGAUGUCACCAAAUGAUUUCCCUUCUGGACAUUAAUCACCCUACUUAGAGGAGAGUCCUGAACUGAAUAAUGCUUCACCUUGCUGACCACUCCAUCACGCUUCAAACAGCAACAACAUGUCCCCCAGCAAUCAAUCCUGCUGCUCCCCCCCCCUUUCACCAACUGAUCCUUUUGCCAAGAGCAAGAAGAGCUUCCCUGUUCCCACUGUUGUGCCUCUCUUAUUUAACAGGUUUCUCACAAAGUCUAGACAUUUCCUGAAUUGCAUUUAAAAAGCUUCUGUCCCCCUUCAGUUCCAUUAAUCCUAAAACUCCAAGCCUGAGAAGACUGAUGCUCCUCCAUCCUGCUCCGCAUGAAUUAUGGUUUAAAUGACAACCAUGCAACUUCUUGGCAGUGACUCUUUGCCCUUUGUUCCUGUAUUUUCUCCGGAUGGAAAGGAAGAAAUGAUAAAUUUAUUUGAGGCUACUGUCUCCACAUUAUAGCAGAAAUUAACUGGGCUGGGAGACUUCAGUGCAAAUUGAAUAGCUUGUACUGUAGUUACUUGAUAGCAUCAUCUUGUAAGUUAGUAGAAUCCCUUUCUCCCAGACUCUCAGGGUGCCCGUGUAGAUCAUGUCAUAGAUGUAAAAGAUGAAAGAAGGCUAAUGGGGUAAUUAUAAAGUCUUUUGGUGCCUCAUUUACUCUUUACAGUGCUUUCCUUGGCAUUAAGUUAAGUCUUGCUUUCAGAGAUAUAAGUAGAGCUAUUUGCAGUAUUUUCUUUUAAAGUUUUCUUUUACAGAAAAAAAAUGACUUUGUUUUCCUCAAACAAACAAACAAACAAACCAAAUUAAUUCAGUGUUUUUGAUUUCUACAUCUUCAGAUUUUCGGUGCUGUCUUGGUAAUAGUUGACAAGAAUCCAUCAGCAUUUAAUUUGGAAUUUCUUCAUUUUUCUUUCUUUCCUGCAU
ensembl:lncRNA